CCACCGUGUUCAGGGACAACCCUGUGAUCAUGGUUUUGGUCACAUAGCUUCCAAGUGAGUGUUGUGCAAACAUUUGCUAGGAUCUCUCGGGGAGCCUGUUAGAAAAGAAACUCCUGAGCCUGCUCCAGAGCUUCUGUUCAGCAGGCCUGAGGUGGGACCAUACACCUGUCUUUUCAGCAAGCCCCCCCCCACCUCUGAGGAUGCACCCCAAAGCUAGAGAAUUCCUGCUCUGAGCCAUCUCUGAAAGCACCAAGAGCCAGCUCACGGAGGAGAUGCCAGCUCACGGAGGAAAAUCUGGAAGGUGUUGAAGCAUAGACGCUGGAACAUAAAAUGACUCAUGAUCUCACUGGGAGAAGGGCUGGGAACAUCGUGGGCUCUCUUCUCCCCGCGCUCCUCUCUCCGGGUCUCUGUUUCCCUCAUUCCACGAUGUUUAGAACCAUCGGCGCACUACAUCAGACUAGAGGUCUGGGGUCACCCGACCAUCCCGCCACAAGCCCCUCCGAGGCAUCACUGUGUCCAGAUUUUGCAAACUGCACCUCCUGAAGGGGCUGGGGUCUGUCCACUUCGCCCCAUCUGCCGUGGCAGCACUUCCUCCGUGGUUCGCACCCCCACAGCAGCCUCCUGGGAAGGCACCUCCCUGGGGCCCCUCUCAGUCCACGGUGUGGAUAUGGUGAGUUCUUAAACCAUGAACUUCUGAUUUCACAGCUCUGCUUGAAGCCUUCAAUGUCAGGCUUCCUGUUGCUCUUAAGAUAAUGAUCAAAACUCUCAACAAAGUUCCCCUGAUAAAUGCUCUCAACGUGCCCCCCACCACAGCAUCCCUAACUGUAAUGAAUACAUCAUUGGUCCUCACGGCAGCGGAUUAAUCGUCUGUGAGUGUUGGUUUAAUCUUUCUCUUCUGGAGUUUAGCUGUCACUGCCAUAUCCCCAGCACGGAGCACAAUGACAUGUUUAUAUGUAGAAAAUUGAGCGAAAAAUAAAAACAGCUAACAUUUGGGUACUUAUUAUCUUCCAGGCAGCAAGCUAUGCAUUUUGCAUAUAUUAGCAAAUCCAUGAGGCAGGUGCUGUCUUCAUUGUACAGGUGAGGAGCCUGAAGCUCAGAGAGGUGAAGGAACAUCCUCAAGGCCACGCUCUGAAAUCAACAAAAGAUACAUCAGUUUAUUGUGGGAAACAUCAGAACAUGCAGAGAUAUUAACAAAGAGAAGUCACUCAGAGAUGACUGUCAUUAACAUUUUGGUGUAUUUCUUCGUAGACAUUUUCCUAUGUCUCUGCAUAGUAACAUACUGUCCAGAGUGCUUGUAAUCUGCUAGACGGUUUGAUGAGACCAAGUUUUCAUGGUAUUAGCCACGGCAAUAUUUGUAUUCAUAUUUUAGGGUAUGGCUGAACUGAAAUUUGCUUUUGCUCAACUCAGCCCCUCUUGUGAACAUUAGGCACUUUGCACUUCACCUGCUGAAAACGUGGUAGUCAUAAACACGCUGGUAGCUCAAUCGUCCCACCUAUCUUUACUAUGUUAUUCAUUCCUAGCAGUGGGGCCUGGGUCAAAAGUUCUGCAGGGUUUUAAGGCUUUGGAUCAGUGGUUCGGGAUUGUCCUCUGGGACGGGCUGAGAAGCACACAUGCCUGCCGGUGGUGACAAGCAUUCCUUCCUAGUGCAGAGUCAGGUCUGCACCUGGCACCCCCUACCCAUCCAGGUUGGGUCCCUGGCAUUCAGUUAUGUGGAACAGACCAGAAAAAUUAAAAAAGAACCCCCUCCCGCAUCUUCCCCGAAGGACCACUGGCCUGCUGUCUCUCCCCGCACUCCCCCACUGGAGUUCAUACCCACUGAAUCACGACCCCCUUGUGGCUAAGCCCUGGUGCGCCACCCUGCAAAAUCAAAGGUGGUGUCUAGGCACAGAAAUGGCUCCGUGACCUAUGUCCCCUUUGUUCUAAUCUAGAAUCCAGCCAGGAGUAUGCGUGUCAGAAGCCAGGGGUGAUUGUGUUUUUUCUCCUUCCUCUUUCUUUAGGUCAGGAAGAUUCCUGCAGCUGCUGAGUUAGUACUUUUAAGAAAGUACUGGAUUCCCUCUCACAAUGGGACUUUGAUUUUUUUAAGAAAAAGGUUUCAUAAGUUUUCAAAUAACCUGGAGCAGUUGAGCAAACUUAAUGUGCAGCGUGGUCCCUGCUGGCUGGGUUUGAGGGGCUGGGUCUCUCUGAGUGGAUGCUGGUGAGGUGCAGAGGAAGAAGAAAAGGUGCCUGAGGGCCUGUGUGGAAGGCCUGUCACACAGCACAUCCUGGGAAAUCUGUCCAGGAAGCAGCCAGGCGGGCAUCAGCCAGGCGGGCAUCAGCAUCUUCACUGUGCAGAUGAGAAACUGAGGCCGCAGAGCGUUUCAGCAUCUCUAUAAAACCCUCACAGGUGAUCCCUAGAAACACAGCCAGUGGCCCGGAAGCUGCACUGUUUUGUGCACCGCAGGGAUGGGCACAGAUGGGGCUGCCUGCCCUCCUCCUGGAAGGAGGGAGAACCCAGUCUGGCCUGGAGUGGUCAAGAGCUAACUCUAGACUCAGCAAGACCUACUUCUCUCUCCUGCCCCUACUUCCUUGCUGCUGACCUGGGCAAGUCGCUGAAGCCUCUCCGUGCCUCAGUCUGCUCGUGCGUAAGAUGGGCACAGGGCACACUGCCUACUUGAUUGGGCUCAACCACGUGCAGUAAGUAGCUGGUGUCUGGCAAGAGCCCUCAGGAAACAGUAACCCCAUUAAUUCAAAUGCACGUGCCUGGAACAGGCUCUGGGGGGCCAGCCCGGGAGUCCCACUCCAUGAUGGCCACCCUGGGGCCUGGCAGGCUGGGCUGGCAUCCCAGGCCCACCGGAUACUGGCUGUGCACCCCGGCCAGGCCACACAUCUCUGAGCCUCACUUUCCCGUGUGUGAGAUGAGGCUAGAAGCUGCUUUCUCUUGCGUGUGUGGGGAUUGGCGGUGACAACACGGCCAGGAGCCCAGGCCCAGCCUACGCGAGCAGCCUCGCUCCAGGCCACACGCCCCACUCCUGACAGCUCUGUGCAGCGAGUUCGUGCGCGAGCGGGUGGCUGUCUGCCAGGCGAGGGGCGCGGGUGCCCAAGAGGGCUUCACUGCUUCUGGAAAGAUCACAAGGAAAAACCACCUCCGCGGCGGGACGCUACCCGCGGGCCGCUGCGGUCCCGCUCGCGGCCGGCAGGGGGCAGGAUGUCCCCGCGAGUCGCCCGUGUCUUCGGGUGUCCUCAGGUCACCCCGCACCGCUCGCAGCCUCCGCGCCUAGUUAAAGGGCGACGCACUCAUUUCUGCAAAGAAGGAGCCCAGCGGCCCCUCCCCGGGGAACUCUUUCCAUCAACUCGGGGCCUAAUAAUUUACAUUUAAUUUGUUAGCGGUUUAAUGUUUAAUUUUAAAAGCGAGAUGAUUCAUUACCAUAUUAAUAAAUAAUAACAUUUAUUAUUCUCCUAAUGAGUGUCCAAAAUACAGAAGCAAUUACAUGUUUUAUAUAUUUUCUCGUAAUUUGAGACACCAGAGCGUUAAUUACAGAGACUCACGCGUGGACCCCAUUCUGAUCCAGGGUCCUGAUCCUGCCUUUGUUUCGGUCUCUGAACCAGCCGCCCUCCGGGGCUUCUGCAAUUCCCUCAAUUAGAGGAGAGGAAGUCGUACGUGACGAAGCUGGGGCUCUCACAGAACCCCGGCGCCCCAGACCCAGGAGCUGCAAGACCUCAGCUCCCCGUGCCCACACUCGGAGACCCAGGCCCCUCCCAGUCCCCCGUCUCCUCUGUGCAGGGUUCUUCAGGAAGAAUCGGAAAGAGGCCCCCCGACCCACAACCAGCCUCGCAUUCCCUCCUCCCGCAGGGAUCCAUUGAGCUGGGGGGUGGGACUAUCCUCACUUCACAGAUGGGGAAACUGAGUCCUGGAGAGAGACGCUCCGGUGUCCUCAGCUGGUGAGGGGCAGAUCCGGGAGCCACGUCCCACGCAGUCGGUUGGCCCCAAGCUUGGUUCCUGCCUCAACCCCAGCGCAGGUUGCAGCAGGCCCGCGUAGGAGGGCGGCCUGGGUCUGGACAGAUCCACAGCCGGCCAACGCCCCUGGCUAGCUCUCUAUGGCUUUGCUUCUUCUCUUGACUUGCCAAGUUCUUCUUGUUCAUUGUAGAAAAUGUGGAAGGUGAGGCCGGGAGCGGUGGCUCACGCCUGUAAUCCUAGCACUUUGGGAGGCCGAGGCGGGCAGAUUGCCUGAGCUCAGGAGUUCGAGACCAGCCUGGGCAACAUGGUGAAACACGUCUCUACUAAAAAAAAAAAAAAAAAAAAAAAAAAAAUUUGCUGGGCGUGACGGCAGGCGCCUGUAGUCCCAGUGGGAGUUUGGGGAGGCUGAGGCAGGAGAAUCACUUGAACCCGGGAAGCAGAGAUUGCAGUGAGCCGAGAUCGUGCCACUGCACUCCAAUCUAGCGACAGAGCAAGACUCCGUCUCAAAAAAAAAAAAAAAAAAAAAAGUGGAAGGUGAAAAAAACACGGAGAGACAGCAAAGCUGGCAAUGACAUAGCUCCAAAAAUCCCACUUCUCAGAUAAGAUGCAGGCAGUAAGGGCCUGGAGUUUUAUGUAUCCUGAUGUUUGAAAGGGCUUGGACAGGGCACUUCCUCCCUCCAUAGCUCUUCUGUCCUUAGGAAUCCCUCCCUUCUGGAGGGGAAGGGUGGGGGUUUUCCUGUUUGGUCCCCAGGGAAGGAAGUUCAGAGACAGAGGCCCACUCAGGGCCACCCCCUGGCCUGCACCCCUGAAAUGCAAUUUGGAUAAUAUGGAAAAUUACUAGGAAGAAAAAACGCUAUAAUCCCCCCACCUAGAGAUAACCAGGCGUUCUGGUAUAUACCUAUUGAGGACUUUUUUCCCAAGCAAAUACUCAGAAAGAGACUUCCUCCCAAUAGGCAUGAGAUCUUACUCCACGUGCAGUUUGUCUUAUCUUGAUUUUUUUCCAGUAAUCUUUUAAGAGUUUCCCAUGCCAUGUAGUCAUUCUUCAAAAACCCACUUUGAACAGCUGCGUAAUAUUCCGCUGUGGAGGAGUGCCCUGCAGUGUAGAGAAAUGAGUUAUUUACGCUGAAGUCUGUUAUUACAUGGACAUCUUCCCUUUUCUGACCCUGCAAUGACCACACUCAUAGGUGAGUCUCUCUGGAAAUCCUUGACUACCUCCUUAGGGUCCAUUCUUAGAAGUGGAAUUACUGGGUUAGAGGGCAUGAGUGCCUUGAGGGCGGCUGUCUCCCUCUACCUGCAUGCCUGCCAGGGCAAACCCGUGCAUGCUCCCAGGACAGGCCUGGCAGGGCGUGUCUCCCUGCUGCACCCUUGGUACCCUUGGCAGGGCUAACAUUAUCCUCUAAACCAGGUCUUUGCAGCACUUACCCUUUUCAAGGUGCUACUGUACCUCUCCUUUAAGGAG
rnacentral:lncRNA from 10 species